rnacentral:snoRNA from 1 species
AAUCCGUGGUGCAGACAUUUCUGGAUAAAUGUUUUAAAACAUUCCCAAGCAUCUUGAGAGCUUUCCCCUUCCAAUUGUCUAAAAGACAGCAAUUUCUCUUCUCAGUUA